rnacentral:lncRNA from 1 species
UCCCGCAAUCGUUUCACACCCCUCUUCCAAAAAUAACGGAUGUAUAGGUACAUUAGAAUUACGAGAAGUAACUUUUGAUCGUGAUCCAUAUGAACCUAAAAUCAACAAAGUGGAACUUUAAAAAACAUUACAUAAACCAUAUUUCAAGUAUCAAAUAAACAUUCCAUUAAUCAUAUUUCAAGCCAAAAUAACAUUACAUAAACCAUAUUUCAAGUAUCAAAUAAACAUUCCAUUAAUCAUAUUUCAAGUACCAACAAGGGCAAAAAGACCUAACAAAAUAGUUCCAACAAAGGCAAAAACAUUUAACAAAGUAGUUCCAACAAGGGCAAAAAGACAUAACAAAUACUUUCAACACUAGAAAAUCAUCGAACAAUCUUCCCAUCCUUCAAAACUCCUAAACUGGUACCCGUCAUCUCAAGCCACCCUCGUAAUAUCUCGGGAACAUCGGGCAAAUGCAUCCACAUCUCUCUCAUGUUCAUGGUUCCUCCAAAAAUAUGAUAUGCGACAAAGCGUAAAGGAUCUGUAGGGCCUAACUGAAGGACCUCUAACUUCUCUAAACACUGAGGAAUUGUAUACCCUUUAGUCAAACUUUGUAGAGCUUUCUUCAUUUCAAAUGCUAAAUCGUCAGCAGUAACAGAAGUUCCAUCAGGUGAAGAAGCAGACGGUGAGGCACUAGGAGCUAUAGGAGUUGAGGGUUUAGCCCUUUUGUUGGGGUUACCGGAUGGUGUAGCAGUAUAUGGUGAACCAGCAGAAGGUGAAGCAGCAGAAGGUGAACCAGCAGAAGGUGAAGCUGCAGAAGGUGAAGCAGCAGAAGGUGGUGGCUCAUGAUGAGGAGUGUCAGCACCAUCAUCAUCCAUUGCAUCAAAAGGGGUGGCGGUGAUCUGAAGUGGUGGAACACGACAGGAGGAUGCGCCAGCUACUGAUGAUGAUUGGGUUGAGUAACUCCUAAAAUUACCAGUAGCACUAUUUCCAUCAAAAAGACGUGCACAAAGAUCAGGAAAAGGCAGUGGAAUUGUUCUCAAAGAAGCAGCUUUCGGAUGCCCCUAAACCCAAAUGUAACAAGAAAUAAUAUAAGAAUAUUUGGCAACUUCAAACAUAAAUGUUAUAUAUAUAUAUAUAUAUAUAUAUAUAUAUAUAUAUAUAUAUAUAUAUUAUUGUAUAUUAAUGUAUAUGUACCUUCUUAAAAUCAUCCCACUCCUCGGCUGUUAAAUUAAAAGUGUUUGUUUGAGAAUUGUAUAUAUUACCGGUUUUGUUUUUUAAAUAUACCCAUCCAGUGUAUUUGGCUUUCAGAUUGUCAUAUGCGUUUUUCAUUUGUUUUUGAGUCAACUCAACCCCAAAUUUCUCCUUAAGAACUCUUCCAAGCCUUAUCCAUGAAUCUUUCUGCAAACUCAAUCCUUUUCUACCAACACUCUCUACUUCUUCAAUACAAGUAUCCAAUAAGCAUUUUAAGUGCUCAUUGGUCCAUUGUUGUUUUUCUCCCAUCUCUAAUAACCAAAUAACAAUAAACAGUGAACAAGUAACAUCAUUAUUUCAAGAAAAAGUUUUUAUUUUCACGACAAAUUUGUAAUUUUGUUUUAUUUUCAAUCACAAUAAUGUGAAACUUUUUAUUCAAUUAUAAAUAACCUCAAUUAGAGUGUUUUAAUUCAAAGUUUUCUAAAAAACUUUAUAAAUCAAAUAAACUUCACUUUAACGACAAAAACUUUACUUCUAUCAAAUAAACAAAACUUAUGUCUCUUUUUGAUGCUUUCUAUCAUAUACAUACAAAAUCAACAAUCAUAUACAUAUACACUAUCAUAUAAAUAUACACAAUCAAUAUAUAUAUAUAUAUAUAUAUAUAUAUAUACAACUUUGAAUUACUGCAUAUUUAAGUAAUACAAUCAAUUCUAAUUAUAAGCAUUGUUGAUAAUAUGGGUGAGUGGAAAUUUAACAUUGUUGGUGUACAUAACCUAAAUUACAUUCAAGGUAUCAUAUAAGCAUCAUAAGAACAUCAUUCAAAACAACAGGAGGCAUGCCCAGGCUUGACAAUAACAGAAUUAAACAGAAAAUUUGGGUGCUACUGUUACAGGUUUAACAUCUAGGUUCAAUUGCUAAUUGAAGCACAAACACAUACACAAUUGGACUUUUUCGAUCAAACAGACCAAGCUGGAGAUGUUACAGGUUUAACAUCUCGGUAUUUCAUUCAAAAUCAAAUCCAAUUUCACAUUCAAAGAUAAAUUACUUUCAUUACAAAUGUUUUUAUUUUACAGCUCUUUUAUGAGUUAUGCAUCAAUUAACAUAAAUUCUGAACUAUAGCUUCAAUGCAACGGAUAAGAAGGGAAUAACAGAAAGUCGGGAGAAGAAGGAAGACUGACAGCAGGAAAAAAAAACGAACCUGUAGCUGUGAGGUCGAAGUCUCCGGUGUAGCUGUGGGGGCGACGGUCUCCGGCCGGUGGCUUCACAGGGGAGGCGCUGGUUAACGGCGGCGAGCAGGGGAGGAGUCGUCGCUUGGUCGCUAGUUGAAGUUGUCGUUGUGACCUUGUUGUUCGCUGGCUGCUGCAAUCGACUGUGAUGGUCGGAAAAUCGGAGGACGCCGGAUCGGAGAGGAAGGCGGCGAUCGAUGGUUUUGAUCGGAGAGGAGGGUUGCGACGGUGGCGGUCGAUGCAAGGUGGAGUACGAUCGAUCGAUCGAGGGUUUUUCUGGGAGGGUUGGACGAGGACUGGAGGCGGAAGCAAACAAAAAAAAAAGACGCGUUUUUUUUAGGUUAAAGGGCUUGCAGACUUUAGAAGAUGCUAUCCCAUAUCUGUGUGGUGAAGACCUCGCGCAGACGUUUUUAUGUCUGCGCACUUAAGAAAAACAAACAGACUGCAAACCAUUAUGUCUGCGCGUGGUCUGCGCCUCGCAGACAGAAGAGGUCACGUAGACCUGCAGAGAAAAAACAAACACCCUCUGAGUGUUUGGAGCUUAUAUUGUCAGCAAAGACAUGGAAAAAUUGACAGCUUUGUUGUUCUAUUUUCUUUCUGGAAAAACAGGUGCACAACACCUCCGAAUAGAGGUGUUCUUGGGGAUCACGAUGCAGAAAAGAAAGAACAGGUAGGCUAAGGUGUUUUGGUGAGUUUGGGGCUGAAAUGUGUAAAGGAAAAGAAUUAUAACAUAGCUGGGUAUUUAUGCUUCAAGAUGGAUUUGACUCAUGGAGGAAAGUUAGAAGUUUUGUCAUACAUUCAUCAUGCAUGUGUACUAGUAACUUCCAUGAGUGGAGAAAUAUGUGAGGGAGAAAAGAAAGAAGAAAGGAAACGUGAGGUGAAUGUGUUUGUGUGUUAAAGUCUCUCAUUUACAUUGUACUUCAAAGUGAGACUUUAAAGCAACCUCUUUUAAUGAGUGGUACUUCCUUCAUAAUGAGAAUUUGAGGCAUUUUUGGUUGGAAUGCCUUAAUUACGUGAAUAGGAAGAGGUAGACUCUUAGGAGUUGACUUGGCCUUCAAUGCUAAUUCUUGUUAUAUUAAGAGUUAAUUGUAUGUACUAGUUCUUAAAUUGGUGUAGUGUCAUAAAUGGAUUCUUGGGGUUUUAUGGAUAACUUUCGAGACAUCUAACCAUAUACACACAUACAUACAUCUCAUACCUAUUUAUUUUGUUAUAUUUUUGUCAUAUAAUAAUCAAGUCCCCUUAUUAUUACAUAUAACAUUUGUAAGGACUUAGAUAUUUUUAUAAAUAUAACUCUUUCACUACAUAAACAUAAUUGUAUGUAUCUUAUUGAUUUUAUUAGCAUAUAACUAGUCGCAUUCCAAUAAUAAGUCGCAUUCCAAUAAUAAUAUAUAUUAAACGAUUCUUAUUAUUAUAAAUAUAUACUUA